UACGGAGGGUGCAAGCGUUGUUCGGAAUUAUUGGGCGUAAAGAGCGUGUAGGCGGCCAUGAAAGUCUGAUGUGAAAUCCCGGGGCUUAACCCCGGAAGUGCAUUGGAUACUGCAUGGCUAGAGGAUCGGAGGGGAAGUCGGAAUUCCUGGUGUAGGGGUGAAAUCCGUAGAUAUCAGGAGGAACACCGAUGGCGAAGGCAGACUUCUGGACGAUUUCUGACGCUGAGACGCGAAAGCGUGGGUAGCAAACAGG
rnacentral:misc_RNA from 1 species